UUUUCCUCUUUUUAGGCAACUUUAGCAUGGGUGUUCUAACUUAUCCCCAUCACUAUAUAUAUAAAAAGAGAGAUUGAUGUUUAACGAUUACUUCAUAUGUUUCAGCUUCAUUGCAAAGUCCCUAUAUACAGUUCUGCUGUCAGCGCCAUGGCCAUCCACCCAGAAACAAACUGUCUAUUCAUGAUGCAUGCAGAUCAACGGAUGUUUGAGUUUUCCAUAGAGCGGAAAACAAUACACUGACUGGAGCAGAUUGGUGCAAAGGAAUGGCCUACAUUAUAUCUGGCUGGAAAGAGACACACCGUGCCUCAACGUUAUGUUUAAUCCCCAAAAUCCAUCCCAUGUCAUCCUGCAUGAUACCUACAUGUUCUGCAUCAUUGAUAAAAGCCUGCCACUUCCUGAUGUCAAGACACAAUUCCUCAAUCAGCUUACUCUGAAGAGCCUCCCAAGGAAAAGAGGAAAUCUCAAAGCCAUGCUUUCAAAGUCUGCAAGACCUUCCGGGAGAUACUGCAUGUUGAGCUGAUGUCAGAUCAGUCUCUGGUGGUGGUUGAGCGCCCUCUAGUGGACAUAUCUACUCAGUUGCCUGCACCCAUUAAACAAAAGAGAUUUGCCACUUAAGAGUAAAUCUCCCUUUUAUGUUUGUGGCCUCAGCGAGAAAGUGUUUUAUUCAGAGUCUGCACAUUUUCCCCUCUUCCCCCAUUGUAAAAACUGCUGCGACCGUAUUAAAAAGAAAUUUACCAUA